UACGAAGGGGGCUAGCGUUGUUCGGAUUAACUGGGCGUAAAGGGUGCGUAGGCGGGUUUUUAAGUCAGGGGUGAAAUCCCGAGGCUCAACCUCGGAACUGCCUUUGAUACUGGAAAUCUUGAGUCUGGGAGAGGUGAGUGGAACUGCGAGUGUAGAGGUGAAAUUCGUAGAUAUUCGCAAGAACACCGGUGGCGAAGGCGGCUCACUGGCCCGGAACUGACGCUGAGGCACGAAAGCGUGGGGGAGCAACAGG
rnacentral:rRNA from 1 species